UUGGAGGGCAAGUUGGUGCCAGCAGCCGCGGUAAUUCCAGCUCCAAUAGCGUAUAUUAAAGUUGUUGCAGUUAAAAAAGCUCGUAGUUGAACCUUGGGUCUGGCUGGCCGGUCCGCCUCACCGCGAGUACUGGUCCGGCUGGACCUUUCCUUCUGGGGAACCUCAUGGCCUUCACUGGCUGUGGGGGGAACCAGGACUUUUACUGUGAAAAAAUUAGAGUGUUCAAAGCAGGCCUUUGCUCGAAUACAUUAGCAUGGAAUAAUAGAAUAGGACGUGUGG
rnacentral:rRNA from 1 species